rnacentral:rRNA from 1 species
AACGAUGAACCUCCUUCGGGAGGGGAUUAGUGGCGAACGGGUGAGUAACACGUGGGCAAUCUGCCCUUCACUCUGGGACAAGCCCUGGAAACGGGGUCUAAUACCGGAUAUGACACACGGAGGCAUCUUCUGUGUGUGGAAAGCUCCGGCGGUGAAGGAUGAGCCCGCGGCCUAUCAGCUUGUUGGUGAGGUAAUGGCUCACCAAGGCGACGACGGGUAGCCGGCCUGAGAGGGCGACCGGCCACACUGGGACUGAGACACGGCCCAGACUCCUACGGGAGGCAGCAGUGGGGAAUAUUGCACAAUGGGCGAAAGCCUGAUGCAGCGACGCCGCGUGAGGGAUGACGGCCUUCGGGUUGUAAACCUCUUUCAGCAGGGAAGAAGCGAAAGUGACGGUACCUGCAGAAGAAGCGCCGGCUAACUACGUGCCAGCAGCCGCGGUAAUACGUAGGGCGCGAGCGUUGUCCGGAAUUAUUGGGCGUAAAGAGCUCGUAGG